AGUUUAAAGAAAUUAUUUUAAAUGAAUCCUGCCCAGUGUUAAUUUAUAAAUGGCCGCAGUACCCUGACUGUGCGAAGGUAGCAUAAUCAAUUGGCUUUUAAUUGAAGUCUGGAAUGAAUGGAGAUUUGGAAAAAAGCUGUCUCAAACAUAUUUAGUCGAAUUUAAUUAUUAGGUGCAAAUACCUAUUAAAAGAAAAAAGACGAGAAGACCCUUAGAAUUUUUAAAAUAUUACUUAAUUAAUUUAUUUUUGUUGGGGCGACAAUUAAACAUUUUAAACUUUAAUUUUAAUACAUAACGAAAUUGUUAUAAAAGAAUAAAUUACCUUAGGGAUAACAGCAUAAUUUUUAAUAAGUUUGUGACCUCGAUGUUGGACUAGGAACUUUAUGGCAAGCAGUCAAAAUAGAUUUGUUCUGUUCGAACAAUAUUAUCCU
rnacentral:rRNA from 1 species